rnacentral:rRNA from 1 species
AUUGAACGCUGGCGGCAGGCCUAACACAUGCAAGUCGAGCGGAUGAAGGGAGCUUGCUCCUGGAUUCAGCGGCGGACGGGUGAGUAAUGCCUAGGAAUCUGCCUGGUAGUGGGGGAUAACGUCCGGAAACGGGCGCUAAUACCGCAUACGUCCUGAGGGAGAAAGUGGGGGAUCUUCGGACCUCACGCUCUCAGAUGAGCCUAGGUCGGACUAGCUAGUUGGUGGGGUAAAGGCCUACCAAGGCGACGAUCCGUAACUGGUCUGAGAGGAUGAUCAGUCACACUGGAACUGAGACACGGUCCAGACUCCUACGGGAGGCAGCAGUGGGGAAUAUUGGACAAUGGGCGAAAGCCUGAUCCAGCCAUGCCGCGUGUGUGAAGAAGGUCUUCGGAUUGUAAAGCACUUUAAGUUGGGAGGAAGGGCAGUAAGUUAAUACCUUGCUGUUUUGACGUUACCAACAGAAUAAGCACCGGCUAACUUCGUG